CACGUAGGGGGGCAAGCGUUUGUCCGGAUUUAUUGGGCGUAAAGAGCUCGUAGGCGGCUCAGUAAGUCGGGUGUGAAACCUCCAGGCUCAACCUGGAGACGCCACCUGAUACUGCUGUGGCUAGAGUCCGGUAGGGGAGCGUGGAAUUCCUGGUGUAGCGGUGAAAUGCGCAGAUAUCAGGAGGAACACCAGCGGCGAAGGCGGCGCUCUGGGCCGGAACUGACGCUGAGGAGCGAAAGCGUGGGGAGCAAACAGG
rnacentral:rRNA from 1 species